GACAGAGGGGGCAAGCGUUGCUCGGAAUUACUGGGCGUAAAGGGCGCGUAGGCGGGAUGGCAAGUCGGUCGUGAAAUCCCUCGGCUCAACUGAGGAUCGUCGAUCGAUACUGCCGUUCUUGAGGAUUGCAGAGGAGACUGGAAUUCCCGGUGUAGCGGUGAAAUGUGUAGAGAUCGAGAGGAACACCUGUGGCGAAGGCGGCCUUCUGGACAGUGACUGACGCUGAGACGCGAAAGCGUGGGGAGCAAACAGG
rnacentral:rRNA from 1 species